CAACAAAAAACAGAAGUGAUGUGGAUGUCUUCGCCUUAUAGCAUGACACUGUCAAUCUAACAACAACGAGAAGGGCGUUCAACAUUAUCCUGCUAGUAAGGACUCUUCAAGAGAACAAAUGAUUCUUGUGGCAGAGAUGGCCAACCAUUAUAAAUACCAAAUACCUUUCAACUCAUCCUGGUUCCUUCAGAGAACUGUCCUGCUUGUGUGCUACUGAAAAAUACGACAUGUGGCCUAAACGAAGAGGGUUUAAAAGGUCUGUGGAUCAUCAUUCUCAGAAAGCAACAAAAUAACUGAGAAAAAAAAAACUACGACAGGAGGGUGCAAGCUAGAGACCUGCAAGGUACCUGCAUGUUUUGGCCGGAGCA